GUAGGUGGCAAGCGUUGUCCGGAAUUAUUGGGCGUAAAGCGCGCGCAGGCGGUUCUUUAAGUCUGAUGUGAAAGCCCACGGCUCAACCGUGGAGGGUCAUUGGAAACUGGAGAACUUGAGUACAGAAGAGGAAAGCGGAAUUCCACGUGUAGCGGUGAAAUGCGUAGAGAUGUGGAGGAACACCAGUGGCGAAGGCGGCUUUCUGGUCUGUAACUGACGCUGAGGCGCGAAAGCGAGGGGAGCAAACAGGAUUAGAUACCCUGGUAGUCCACGCCGUAAACGAUGAGUGCUAAGUGUUAGGGGGUUUCCGCCCCCCUUAGUGCUGCAGCUAACGCAUUAAGCACUCCGCCUGGGAGUACGGCCGCAAGGCUG
rnacentral:rRNA from 1 species